UACGAAGGGAGCUAGCGUUGUUCGGAAUCACUGGGCGUAAAGCGCACGUAGGCGGGCUUGAAAGUCAGGGGUGAAAUCCCGGGGCUCAACCUCGGAACUGCCUCUGAUACUGCAAGUCUCGAGUCCGGAAGAGGUGGGUGGAAUUCCUAGUGCAGAGGUGAAAUUCGUAGAUAUUAGGAAGAAAACCGGUGGCGAAGGCGGCCCACUGGUCCGGUACUGACGCUGAGGUGCGAAAGCGUUGGGAGCAAACAGG
rnacentral:rRNA from 1 species